rnacentral:lncRNA from 1 species
CCACGCUGUGGGGCAUGGGGAGAAGAAGAAGAGAAGUAGAGGGAGAAGACAAGAAAAGAAGAAGAAGAGGGAAAAGAAGAGAGGAAGAAGAGGGAGAAGAGAAGAAAAGAAGAAGAAGAAGAGAGGGAAGAGGGAGAGGAAAAAGAGAUAGCUGCAGCAGCUAGGGCUGCAGCACCUCAGUUUCGUGUAGGAGGAAACAGAGGAGUUCAUGU